rnacentral:rRNA from 1 species
UACGUAGGCAGCGAGCGUUGUUCGGAGUUACUGGGCGUAAAGCGUGCGUAGGCGGCGGUCCAUGUCUGGUGUGAAAUCUCCCGGCUUAACUGGGAGGGUGCGCCGGAAACGGGGCUGCUGGAGUGCGGGAGAGGUAAGCGGAAUUCCUGGUGUAGCGGUGAAAUGCGUAGAUAUCAGGAGGAACACCGGUGGUGUAGACGGCUUACUGGACCACGACUGACACUGAGGCACGAAAGCGUGGGUAGCAAACAGG